rnacentral:rRNA from 1 species
GACGAACGCUGGCGGCGUGCUUAACACAUGCAAGUCGAACGGAAAGGCCCUGCUUGCAGGGUACUCGAGUGGCGAACGGGUGAGUAACACGUGUGUGUUCUGCCCUGCACUUCGGGAUAAGCCUGGGAAACUGGGUCUAAUACCGGAUAUGAGCCAUUUUUCGUGUUAUGGUUGGAAAGUUUUUUCGGUGUAGGAUGAGCUCGCGGCCUAUUAGCUUGUUGGUGGGGUAAUGGCCUACCAAGGCGGCGACGGGUAGCCGGCCUGGGAGGGUGGACGGCCACAUUGGGACUGAGAAACGGCCCAGAAUCCUACGGGAGGCAGCAGGGGGGAAUAUUGCAAAAUGGGCGCAAGCCUGAUGCAGCGAAGCCGCGGGGGGGAUGACGGCCUUCGGGUUGGAAACUCCUUUCGCUAGGGACGAAGCUUUUUGUGACGGUACCUAGAUAAGAAGCACCGGCUAACUACGUG